rnacentral:hammerhead_ribozyme from 1 species
AUCCAGCUGAAGAGUCCCGAAUAGGACGAAAUUCGCGUCCUCCAU